GGGUGACUGCGUACCUUUUGUAUAAUGGGUCAGCGACUUAUAUUCUGUAGCAAGGUUAACCGUAUAGGGGAGCCGCAGGGAAACCGAGUCUUAACUGGGCGUUAAGUUGCAGGGUAUAGACCCGAAACCCGGUGAUCUAGCCAUGGGCAGGUUGAAGGUUGGGUAACACUAACUGGAGGACCGAACCGACUAAUGUUGAAAAAUUAGCGGAUGACUUGUGGCUGGGGGUGAAAGGCCAAUCAAACCGGGAGAUAGCUGGUUCUCCCCGAAAGCUAUUUAGGUAGCGCCUCGUGAAUUCAUCUUCGGGGGUAGAGCACUGUUUCGGCUAGGGGGUCAUCCCGACUUACCAACCCGAUGCAAACUACGAAUACCGAAGAAUGUUAUCACGGGAGACACACGGCGGGUGCUAACGUCCGUCGUGAAGAGGGAAACAACCCAGACCGCCAGCUAAGGUCCCAAAGUCAUGGUUAAGUGGGAAACGAUGUGGGAAGGCCCAGACAGCCAGGAUGUUGGCUUAGAAGCAGCCAUCAUUUAAAGAAAGCGUAAUAGCUCACUGGUCGAGUCGGCCUGCGCGGAAGAUGUAACGGGGCUAAACCAUGCACCGAAGCUGCGGCAGCGACACUAUGUGUUGUUGGGUAGGGGAGCGUUCUGUAAGCCGUUGAAGGUGGCCUGUGAGGGUUGCUGGAGGUAUCAGAAGUGCGAAUGCUGACAUAAGUAACGAUAAUGCGGGUGAAAAACCCGCACGCCGGAAGACCAAGGGUUCCUGUCCAACGUUAAUCGGGGCAGGGUGAGUCGACCCCUAAGGCGAGGCCGAAAGGCGUAGUCGAUGGGAAACAGGUUAAUAUUCCUGUACUCGGUGUUACUGCGAAGGGGGGACGGAGAAGGCUAUGUUGGCCGGGCGACGGUUGUCCCGGUUUAAGCAUGUAGGCGGAUGUUCCAGGUAAAUCCGGAACGUUAUUAACGCUGAGGUGUGAUGACGAGGCACUACGGUGCUGAAGUGACAAAUGCCCUGCUUCCAGGAAAAGCCUCUAAGCAUCAGGUAACAUCAAAUCGUACCCCAAACCGACACAGGUGGUCAGGUAGAGAAUACCAAGGCGCUUGAGAGAACUCGGGUGAAGGAACUAGGCAAAAUGGUGCCGUAACUUCGGGAGAAGGCACGCUGAUGGUAGGUGAAGCGACUUGCUCGUGGAGCUGAAAUCAGUCGAAGAUACCAGCUGGCUGCAACUGUUUAUUAAAAACACAGCACUGUGCAAACACGAAAGUGGACGUAUACGGUGUGACGCCUGCCCGGUGCCGGAAGGUUAAUUGAUGGGGUUAUCCGUAAGGAGAAGCUCUUGAUCGAAGCCCCGGUAAACGGCGGCCGUAACUAUAACGGUCCUAAGGUAGCGAAAUUCCUUGUCGGGUAAGUUCCGACCUGCACGAAUGGCGUAAUGAUGGCCAGGCUGUCUCCACCCGAGACUCAGUGAAAUUGAACUCGCUGUGAAGAUGCAGUGUACCCGCGGCAAGACGGAAAGACCCCGUGAACCUUUACUAUAGCUUGACACUGAACACUGGUCCUUGAUGUGUAGGAUAGGUGGGAGGCUUUGAAGUGUGGACGCCAGUCUGCAUGGAGCCAUCCUUGAAAUACCACCCUUUAAUGGCUGGUGUUCUAACGUGGGCCCCUAAUCGGGGUUGCGGACAGUGUCUGGUGGGUAGUUUGACUGGGGCGGUCUCCUCCUAAAGAGUAACGGAGGAGCACGAAGGUCAGCUAAUCCUGGUCGGACAUCAGGAGGUUAGUGCAAUGGCAUAAGCUGGCUUGACUGCGAGCGUGACGGCGCGAGCAGGUGCGAAAGCAGGUCAUAGUGAUCCGGUGGUUCUGAAUGGAAGGGCCAUCGCUCAACGGAUAAAAGGUACUCCGGGGAUAACAGGCUGAUACCGCCCAAGAGUUCAUAUCGACGGCGGUGUUUGGCACCUCGAUGUCGGCUCAUCACAUCCUGGGGCUGAAGUAGGUCCCAAGGGUAUGGCUGUUCGCCAUUUAAAGUGGUACGCGAGCUGGGUUUAGAACGUCGUGAGACAGUUCGGUCCCUAUCUGCCGUGGGCGCUGGAGAAUUGAGGGGGGCUGCUCCUAGUACGAGAGGACCGGAGUGGACGCAUCACUGGUGUUCGGGUUGUCAUGCCAAUGGCAUUGCCCGGUAGCUAAAUGCGGAAGAGAUAAGUGCUGAAAGCAUCUAAGCACGAAACUUGCCCCGAGAUGAGUUCUCCCUGACUCCUUGAGAGUCCUGAAGGAACGUUGAAGACGACGACGUUGAUAGGCCGGGUGUGUAAGCGCAGCGAUGCGUUGAGCUAACCGGUACUAAUGAACCGUGAGGCUUAACCUU
rnacentral:rRNA from 1 species